rnacentral:tRNA from 1 species
GUUUUAAUAGUUUAAUAAAAAUCUAGAUCUUGUAAAUCUAAGAUAACAUGAGUUUUAAAAAU